AGCUUUGCGCAGUGGCAGUAUCGUAGCCAAUGAGGUUUAUCCGAGGCGCGAUUAUUGCUAAUUGAAAAAUGUUUCAAAUUGAAAAAAAAAUUUUUUUAGUUGCAUUUUGCA
rnacentral:snRNA from 1 species